AGGCCACCAUUUGAUUGCAUGUCAGAAUUUUCCAGUGUGAAAAAUCAUCUCAUUAAACAUAUCACAUUACUGAAACAUUUCUCUGAACAGACUGAUCUUAGCCACGAAAAUGAAUCUGAUAUAAUAGAUGUGUGCAAGGGUGUGACUAAAAUAUGUCGCUACAUAAUUUCUCUACCACCUGAUCUUCCAAAACCAGAAGUACAAGUUCCA